rnacentral:rRNA from 1 species
GAUGAACGCUGGCGGCGUGCCUAACACAUGCAAGUCGAACGGACUCUUAAUUCGAUAUUUAUUAUCGAAAGCUGACAUGCUUGUUUUUUAGUGACUCCGCAGCCCGAAACGAAAGUUCGAGCCAGGACCGGAACUAAAAACAUGUAUGUCAGCUAUCACAGAGUUAGUGGCGGACGGGUGAGUAACACGUUAGUACCUACCCUCUAGUGGGGAUAACUGCCCGAAAGGGUAGCUAAUACCGCAUGUGAUCACUUGUGAUCAAAGCAGCAAUGCGCUAGAGGGAGGGCUUGCGUCUGAUUAGCUUGUUGGACGGGGUAACGCCCAACCAAGGCGACGAUCAGUAGCUGGUUCGAGAGG